CGUAGGGUGCAAGCGUUAAUCGGAAUUACUGGGCGUAAAGCGUGCGCAGGCGGUUAUGCAAGACAGAUGUGAAAUCCCCGGGCUCAACCUGGGAACUGCAUUUGUGACUGCAUAGCUGGAGUGCGGCAGAGGGGGGAUGGAAUUCCGCGUGUAGCAGUGAAAUGCGUAGAUAUGCGGAGGAACACCGAUGGCGAAGGCAAUCCCCUGGGCCUGCACUGACGCUCAUGCACGAAAGCGUGGGGAGCAAACAGGAUUAGAUACCCUGGUAGUCCACGCCCUAAACGAUGUCAACUGGUUGUUGGGAAGGUUCCUUCUCAGUAACGUAGCUAACGCGUGAAGUUGACCGCCUGGGGAGUACGGCCGCAAGGUUG
rnacentral:rRNA from 1 species